GGAUGUGAGGGCGAUCUGGCUGUGACAUCUGUCACUUCAUUGAUUGCCAGGGUUGAUUUGGCUGAUCUGGCUGGCUAGGUGGGUGUCCCCCCUCUUCCCUCACUGCUCCAUGUGCAUCCCUCCUGAAGCUGCAUGCUCAGUCAAAGAGGACGACCAUCCCCAAUAAAGGAGGACCUGUCUUCAGUCAAGGGUAUACAAGUAUCUGCUCUUCUUAGCUAGAACCUCCAAACAAGUUCUCAAGGUCCAUUGUAGGAGCAUGUAGGGUAGUCAAGCUUCCAAGACUUCAGACACAUCCUAAUAAGGCACUGCAUGUGGCAGUCUGCCUUUACAA
ensembl:misc_RNA 7SK 7SK RNA